GGAUCUUUGUGUCCCGACUGGCUCCUGCAACUGCUUCGGGCAUGAAAUUGUACUUGACCAGCGUUCCUGCCUCAAAGAAACCCCCAACAUCUGGGCGAGAUGACAGAAGAAAUAAGAAAAAUGGUUAAAUGCAGCAGGCAGGAAUGAAAACUAAAGUGCCCUCAGAGCACAGCCUCAUCUAUUUGCAUAGCCGUGAUGGAUGUCGAACAGUCUGGCCCCUAUCAGGAGGGAAAACUCUACGUAAGCGUGAGCCAGACUCACAGUGCCAUAGCAAAACCUGCGGCUGUUGAACCUGAAACAAGAUUUAAAGCAACUACUCAAAGGCUAAGCAUCUCUUUGUGACAACAAAAGUUUUUUUUUGUGCUUGUCAGCAAAAAAACUGUAUGAUCACAAUGCAAAGAAUCCAGAGUUUUUUUAGCGUGUAGAAAGAUAAAGUGAGAUAAAUAUGAACUUCUCACACUUUUUUGAAGAGGAGUCUAACAAAUUCUUAGUGCAUCAAGAGCUGCAUAGACUACUGCUAAACUUCAGAUGUACACUACUCUGUCUGGUCCUCACAUAAAAAAAUGCAAUAGUACAAUUUUAUACACCAAGGUCUCCAUCAGGAAAGUACAUUUCAUAGCUGGAGCCCAGACUGAAAAUGUGUAUGACCUUUGGGCAAGACUAUCACUGAAAGUGCAGCCUCUUAAGGACUCAAAACAUGGCAGAUACAUACUUUCCACUGAGCCACAGAGCACCCCAGAAGUCAAGCAUUUCUUUAUUUAGGGACCUUUCUAUCUGUCCUCAAUCCUGUUACCAGUCCAGUCCACAUGGUUCUGAACACGUCUUCAAAGCUCCCUCUCAAAUGUGGCUAUGCCUCCUUCUUCCUAUUAAGAUUCAAAGAAGAAUAAAGUCCACCUGAGUCUGC